rnacentral:rRNA from 1 species
GCGAAAGCACGACAAGGUUAAUCCGAGUGAUUUGUGCUAAACGAAUCUUUUGUUAGUCCUAGAAACACUAACGAAUAAGGGGUGGGCAAGUUCUGGUGUCAGCCGCCGCGGUAAAACCAGCACCUCAAGUGGUCAGGAUGAUUAUUGGGCCUAAAGCAUCCGUAGCCGGCUCUGUAAGUUUUCGGUUAAAUCUGUACGCUUAACGUACAGGCUGCCGGGAAUACUGCAGAGCUAGGGAGUGGGAGAGGUAGACGGUACUCGGUAGGAAGUGGUAAAAUGCUUUGAUCUAUCGAUGACCACCUGUGGCGAAGGCGGUCUACCAGAACACGUCCGACGGUGAGGGAUGAAAGCUGGGGGAGCAAACCGGAUUAGAUACCCGGGUAGUCCCAGCUGUAAACUAUGCAAACUCAGUGAUGCAUUGGCUUGUGGCCAAUGCAGUGCUGCAGGGAAGCCGUUAAGUUUGCCGCCUGGGAAGUACGUACGCAAGUAUGAAACUUAAAGGA